rnacentral:pre_miRNA from 1 species
ACAACAUUUGGACCGUCGGUCUACCAUCACCCGCUCGGUGGAAGAUCUUUCCUUUGUCGU